rnacentral:rRNA from 1 species
GAUGAACGCUAGCGGCAGGCCUAAUACAUGCAAGUCGAACGGUGUAGCAAUACACAGUGGCGCACGGGUGCGUAACACGUAUGCAACCUACCUUACAUUGGUGGAUAGCCUUUCGAAAGGAAGAUAAAUACCCCAUAAGUCAGUAACAAGCAUUCUAGUAGCCGUUAAAGAUUUCACAAUAGAAGCUGGGCAUGCUUCCAAUUAGUUAGUUGGCGAGGUAAUGGCUCACCAAGACGAUGAUUGGUAGGGGAACUGAGAGGUCAAUCCCCCACACUGGCACUGAGAUACGGGCCAGACUCCUACGGGAGGCAGCAGUAGGGAAUAUUGGGCAAUGGGCGCAAGCCUGACCCAGCCAUGCCGCGUGCAGGAAGAAGGCGUUAUGCGUUGUAAACUGCUUUUAUACAGGAAGAAACGACCCUUGCGAGGGGCAUUGGCGGUACUGUAUGAAUAAGCACCGGCUAACUCCGUGCCAGCCGCCGCAGUAACAC